UACACGAAGAGUUUGAUCCUGGCUCAGGAUUAACGCUGGCAGUGUGUAUAAUACAUGCAAGUCGACUGCAUUUAGUUGCAGGGCAGACGGGUGAGUAACACGUUGGAACCUGCCCCGAACUCAGGGAUAACACCGAGAAAUUGGUGAUAAUACCGGAUAGUCCCCAGUUCCUCGCUGCGCUUGAAACAACGAGGAAAUAAAGAAAUGAAGAAAUGAAGAGUCUGAGUCCCUAUGGGGACUAGACUUCGUUUCCUCGUUUCCUUGUUUCUUUAUUGCGACGAGCAUAGCGAGGAGCUGGGGUAAAGAUUUAUCGGUUCGGGAGGGGCCUGCGCAGUAUCAGCUUGUUGGUGAGGUAAUGGCUCACCAAGGCUAUGACGCUUAGCUGGUCUGAGAGGAUGAUCAGCCACAAUGGAACUGAGACACGGUCCAUACUCCUACGGGAGGCAGCAGUAAAGAAUCUUCCGCAAUGGGCGAAAGCCUGACGGAGCAACACUGCGUGGGGGAUGAAGGCCUUCGGGUCGUAAACUCCUUUUCUGAGGGAAGAAGUUCUGACGGUACCUCAGGAAUAAGCGACGGCUAAUUACGUGCCAGCAGCCGCGGUAAUACGUAAGUCGCAAGCGUUAUCCGGAAUUAUUGGGCGUAAAGCGUCCGUAGGCGGUUUUGUAAGUCUGUGGUUAAAGCCCGGGGCUCAACCCCGGAAUCGUCACGGAAACUACAUCACUUGAGUAGUGCAGGGGCAGAUGGAAUUCCAGAAGUAGGGGUAAAAUCCGUAGAUCUCUGGAGGAACACCAAACGCGAAGGCAUUCUGCUGGGCACUUACUGACGCUGAAGGACGAAAGCGUGGGGAGCAAACGGGAUUAGAUACCCCGGUAGUCCACGCUGUAAACGAUGGAUACUCGGUAUCAGAGGCUUCGACCCCUUUGGUGCCUAAGCUAACGCAUUAAGUAUCCCGCCUGGGUAGUACGGUCGCAAGAUUAAAACUCAAAGGAAUAGACGGGGACCUACACAAGCGGUGGAGCAUGUGGUUUAAUUCGAUAAUAAGCGGGAAACCUUACCAGGACUUGACAUCUCGGGAAUUUCUUAGAAAUAGGAAAGUGCCUUCGGGAACCCGAUGACAGGUGUUGCAUGGUUGUCGUCAGCUCGUGCCUUGAGGUGUUCUGUUAAGUCAGUAAACGAGCGCAACCCUCAUCGUAUGUUGUUUAUUUCAUGCGAGACUGCCUGGUCCAACCAGGAGGAAGGUGAGGAUGACGUCAAAUCAGCAUGGCCCUUAUGCCCUGGGCCACACACGUGCUACAAUGGUCGGUACAAAGGGUUGCCAAGCCGCAAGGCGGAGCCAAUCCCAUAAAACCGAUCCAAGUUCGGAUUGAGGGCUGCAAUUCGCCCUCAUGAAGCUGGAAUCGCUAGUAAUCGUGAAUCAUCACGUCACGGUGAAUACGUUCCUGGGUCUUGUACUCACCGCCCGUCAAGUCAUGGAAGCUGGGGGCAUUCGAAGUUCCCGAACAAUCGGGACCCAAGGUGAAACCAGUGACUGGGACUAAGUCGUAACAAGGUAUCCGUAGGAGAACCUGCGGAUGGAUUACCUCCUAU
rnacentral:rRNA from 1 species